GAUCACAUGAAGUCAUGAAUGCAAAGUGACUGGCAUAGAGGAGAUGCUCAGCAAAUGCCAGCUGCCAUCUCCCCCCAACCCCAUGCUACAUCUAACUGUGUCUCAGUUUUCUGCUGCACUUAGAGGAUAAGGAUGAGAGCUGAGGGUGGGGAGAGAAGGAAGAGCAGCAGCAGUAGCAGCUUCAGGAGGCUCCUGAUCACUUAGAAGAGAUGAAGGCUGAGCUACAGUAGGAGAGACUCAGGUUAACCCUGAGAGGGACUUCCCAUACUGAGACCCUGGAGGAAGCCACAUUUCAAAGGCCCCGCGAAACAUUCAAGGACCUUCUUCCAAGGGCACAAUACUGAGCAACAUGGACAAGGUCUGGCCCUAUGGUAAAGUCAGGUCUGGAUCAUGGAAUUGAAUGGGGUGUGUUGCCAGGCACCCGCAUGAGGGGCUGGCUCCUCCCCGUGAAUUCUGGGCACAGACACCCAGACCUGAGCAGGCCCCUCACCCCACAGCGACUGGGGAGCCGGAGCCCGAGUCCCUCCCACCUGCUCCCUCGGUUUCUGAGGGUCUGUCUCAUCCUGCAGCUGGACAGACGUGAUCUUCAGCCCCAAGUUACAGACGCUUAGAGAAGCUGGAGACUUGCACAAUGUCUCAGAGGAAAGAGAGCCAGAACCUGGACCCGUGUUGUACCCCAACCAAACCCUCCAUGGUGGAAGGAAUAGGAGUGGGAAGGGGAGGAGGAGACAUAUGGUCCAGGAGGUUCCAUAUGUACCCACACAUGGACCUCAAAGAGGCCCCCACAGCAAGACAGCAAAUGACAUCCACAGUCACAGAUCACGGAGUGAUUUCAGAUGAAGAUGGUGCUGGCAGUUUCCCCAUCAGCGCAAUGGAGUUUGAGCAAAGGAUCUCACUGGAGAAGUCGCAGCGACAGUGGAUCUAAGAGCAGAGGGCAAGGGCUGCCUGAGCCUUGUGAAGCUCAAUUCUGCCCCCUGGUGCCCAGAAUGCCGCGCCAGCAAUGGGAUGCAGGAAGAAGAGGCAGGAGACACCUGAGGUCUCUUACCUUUUCCAAGCUACUCAGACCUCCCUCUUACAGGGCAGGGAACACAGGGCACCAGCCCUACUAACCCAAUCUGAGGGGAAACUCUGAGGCUCCCUCUCCUGCAGAGAUCUCAGACUCUGUGGUAGAGUUGGUGUGGGGGGACACGUGACGUCAGCAAUAGCCCUGUCCAUCCAGCACCUGGACACCCCGAGUGGUUCCUUCUAUGGGAGGCAGAGGCAGGGCUGCCCCCUCUGCUGUGCAAUUCCUGGGGUCUUCAUCUGAGUUAAAUUCUUUUAAGUCAGGAUUUUUCUGGCUGAAAUUUCACAUUUGUGUUCAGUGGGAGUACUCAAAAAAUGUAGCAUGCAUGGAUGAAUUCC
rnacentral:lncRNA from 1 species